CGCGUAGGUGGUUGCGUCAGUCGGAUGUGAAAUCCCCAGGCUUAACCUGGGAACUGCAUCCGAUACUGCGUGACUCGAGUGCAGCAGAGGGAAACGGAAUUCCUGGUGUAGAGGUGAAAUUCGUAGAUAUCAGGAGGAACACCGGUGGCGAAGGCGGUUUCCUGGGCUGACACUGACACUGAGGCGCGAAAGCGUGGGUAGCAAACAGGAUUAGAUACCCUGGUAGUCCACGCUGUAAACGGUGAGUGCUGGGUGUGGGAGGUGUAAUGCCUUCUGUGCCGAAGCUAACGCGUUAAGCACUCCGCCUGGGGAGUACGGCCGCAAGGUUGAA
rnacentral:rRNA from 1 species